CAGGUAUAGAUAUAGAUAUAGAUAUAGAUAUAGAUAUAGAUAUAGAUAUAGAUAUAGAUAUAGAUACAGAUACAGAUACAGAUAUAGAUAU
rnacentral:miRNA from 1 species